rnacentral:lncRNA from 1 species
AGCAUCAUUUGCAGCAUCUCUCCUCCUCUAUAAAUUUAGCCUCUUGCAUUUGCAAUUCAUGCGUUGGCUUCAUAUCUCUUUCGUCUAGCUUUUCAAUACUAACAAGAAAGACACAGAAAAAAAAAUGGUUUCCAAAUCUAAGGUUUCUUUUGUGGGUCUAGGGCUUCUCUUCUUCACGUUUGUAGCUUUGCUGCUGCUCUUUUCUUCGGUCAUCAUGCAAGAACAUUCUGGUCUCUCUCUCUUUCUCUCUCUCUAACUAAUGUACCAAUCUAGUGUUAUUUCCUAUUUCCUAAAUAUAAGUUAAGUGGGAUUUUAUUUUUAUGUUCAUCUUUUCAGAUUCUGCUGGUACUGAGAAUAUUGGUUGCUAUUAUGGAGAAAUGGACUUGCAAAACAGAAAGGUGGUUGUUCUAUUUUUAUUUUUAUUUUAUUUUUCAUGUUAUGUAAAUGAUAUUAAAAAAUAAAUUGUUGAUUGAUGCAGCUUUUGAGUGAGAAACAAUUACCGGCAAGGACUGGGGGGCUGCUGCAUGCAAUAACAAGUGGUAAUGAGAACAUGAUGGUGGGUGGUUCGGAGUUGAGGGUGGUUCCUUCUGGACCAGACCCAUUGCACCACAAUGGCAGCCCCAAGAAGCCAAGAACUCCAUGAAUGUUAUAUACAUAUAUGCGGCCGCAUGCUAGCUGGGAACGUCGUUUUGUUUUGUAAUAUAUAAGGAACUUUUUGGCUGGUAUAUAUAUGGAAUGAAAAGUAACAUAUAUGCCGUUUUCUGUAUGGGAAAGCAGUUCAAGUAUUUUGCACUCCCCUGCCAACUAGCCGUAUGGUAAUAUUUGUGCACGUGAAUGCAUAUAUAAUUAAUUACUUAUGGC